GAUCUAAGUCCAGGGGCCUGUUAGCACCCCAGGGCACAAGACACACUCUCCCUCCCCACCUCUCCAUUGGAGCAGCUCCCCCAUUAUCUGUCCUCCAGCCUCCAGUUCUCUUGGCUUUGUCUCCCUCUUGAGUUAAGUGCUGUUGGGGUUGAGGGGGCCACAUGGCAGGACGUGCAUGGGCUUUUCAGCUGCAAAGUCCCAAGGGCCAAAGACAUAACCUUUUUAUCUCCGGAGGCUCAAGGACACGGCCAACCUUCCCUUUUUCCUUUUUAUUUUUUUUUUGCAGUAUAGCUACCAGCACCCACUCUAGGUGGCACAGUAAGAUGGAGAUUGCCAUAAGAUGCGUGUUAGAUCAGAGGACCCAGAAGAACUCAAACCUCUCCCAACCUCCCAGCCACUCCCAGAAAAAGACUGCUUCCAAGAAGACCCUGGAGACCAUUUUCUUUCUACCAAGUUGUCUAGGCUCAUUAUAGAGAAUCGGUAGCAGACAGCAAAAGCCACAGAUGUGGGAGGUCAAGAGGGUGCUGCAGUGUCUACCUUCUCAGAGGAGGUCCAGGAUGCCUGGUGACCUCUGGAACUGCGGCACUGUAGUCUGAUCGGGUUAUACUCUUUUCCCACAUCUCAGAUUUCUCCAAAUUCCACCCUCCCCCCAAAUAUAUAUGUGUAUUACCCAGAUAAAAUGGAGCUGCAAGGCUGUUGGUGUAGUUGCAAAGUGGUAGCUCUGCACCCCACUGGCUCGGGGCUGCAACCUCUGUUCUCUCACUUCCUGGCUGCAAUAACUUGGACAAGUUCCUAGCGGCUCGAGCCUGGGUUUGCUCAUUUGCAAGACAGGGGGGUUGUCUUUCCUGGGUGGUUGUGAGAAUCACCUCGAUGCAGUGAUGGCGAUGCCAAUGCCGUGUGGGGACAAGCCGGGUUGGGCCUGGCCGCAUCAGAUGCUCAGGGAGAGGCCACAAUUACUCUAGACUAGAAGAUAAACACGAGUAACAGUAAUAAUAAAAACUGACAGGUAGAGAACUCUUACUCUGAG
rnacentral:lncRNA from 1 species